rnacentral:rRNA from 1 species
CCUACGGGUGGCAGCAGUCGAGAAUUUUUCUCAAUGGGGGAAACCCUGAAGGAGCGACGCCGCGUGGAGGAUGAAGGUCUUCGGAUUGUAAACUCCUGUCAUUGGGGAACAAGGCCCAGGGUUAACUGCCUGUGGGUUUGAUAGUACCCGAAGAGGAAGAGACGGCUAACUCUGUGCCAGCAGCCGCGGUAAUACAGAGGUCUCAAGCGUUGUUCGGAUUCAUUGGGCGUAAAGGGUGCGUAGGCGGCGGGGCAAGUCGGAUGUGAAAUCCCGGGGCUCAACCCUGGAACUGCAUUCGAUACUGCCUUGCUAGAGUACUGGAGAGGAGACUGGAAUUUACGGUGUAGCAGUGAAAUGCGUAGAUAUCGUAAGGAAGACCAGUGGCGAAGGCGAGUCUCUGGACAGUUACUGACGCUGAGGCACGAAGGCCAGGGGAGCAAACGGGAUUAGAUACCCUUGUAGUC